rnacentral:rRNA from 1 species
UACGGGGGGAGCAAGCGUUGUUCGGAUUUACUGGGCGUAAAGGGCGCGUAGGCGGUCAGCACAAGUCAGUUGUGAAAUCUCCGAGCUUAACUCGGAAAGGUCAACUGAAACUGUGCGACUAGAGUGCGGAAGGGGCAACUGGAAUUCUUGGUGUAGCGGUGAAAUGCGUAGAUAUCAAGAGGAACACCUGCGGCGAAGGCGGGUUGCUGGGCCGACACUGACGCUGAAGUGCGAAAGCCAGGGGAGCGAACGGG